rnacentral:rRNA from 1 species
UACAGAGGUCUCAAGCGUUGUUCGGAUUCAUUGGGCGUAAAGGGUGUGUAGGUGGCGCGCUAAGUCGGGUGUGAAAUCCCUCGGCUUAACCGGGGAACUGCGUCUGAUACUGGAUGGCUUGAGGUUGGGAGAGGGAUGCGGAAUUCCAGGUGUAGCGGUGAAAUGCGUAGAUAUCUGGAGGAACACCGGUGGCGAAGGCGGCAUCCUGGACCAAUUCUGACACUGAGGAGCGAAAGCCAGGGGAGCAAACGGG